rnacentral:tRNA from 1 species
GGGCCAUUAGCUCAGUCGGUUAGAGCGCACGCUUGAUAAGCGUGAGGUCAGAAGUUCAAGUCUUCUAUGGCCCA